GCCUGGUUAGCUCAAUUGGUAGAGCAGUUGACUCUUAAUCAAUUGGUUAGGGGUUCGAGUCCCCUACCGGGUACCA
rnacentral:tRNA from 1 species